rnacentral:rRNA from 1 species
UGGGGAAUUUUGGACAAUGGGCGAAAGCCUGAUCCAGCCAUGCCGCGUGCAGGAUGAAGGCCUUCGGGUUGUAAACUGCUUUUGUACGGAACGAAACGGUCUUUUCUAAUACAGAAGGCUAAUGACGGUACCGUAAGAAUAAGCACCGGCUAACUACGUGCCAGCAGCCGCGGUAAUACGUAGGGUGCAAGCGUUAAUCGGAAUUACUGGGCGUAAAGCGUGCGCAGGCGGUUAUGUAAGACAGUUGUGAAAUCCCCGGGAUCAACCUGGGAACUGCAUCUGUGACUGCAUAGCUGGAGUACGGUAGAGGGGGAUGGAAUUCCGCGUGUAGCAGUGAAAUGCGUAGAUAUGCGGAGGAACACCGAUGGCGAAGGCAAUCCCCUGGACCUGUACUGACGCUCAUGCACGAAAGCGUGGGGAGCAAACA